rnacentral:rRNA from 1 species
CGGUAGAGAGAAGCUUGCUUCUCUUGAGAGCGGCGGACGGGUGAGUAAUGCCUAGGAAUCUGCCUGGUAGUGGGGGAUAACGCUCGGAAACGGACGCUAAUACCGCAUACGUCCUACGGGAGAAAGCAGGGGACCUUCGGGCCUUGCGCUAUCAGAUGAGCCUAGGUCGGAUUAGCUAGUUGGUGAGGUAAUGGCUCACCAAGGCGACGAUCCGUAACUGGUCUGAGAGGAUGAUCAGUCACACUGGAACUGAGACACGGUCCAGACUCCUACGGGAGGCAGCAGUGGGGAAUAUUGGACAAUGGGCGAAAGCCUGAUCCAGCCAUGCCGCGUGUGUGAAGAAGGUCUUCGGAUUGUAAAGCACUUUAAGUUGGGAGGAAGGGCAGUAAAUUAAUACUUUGCUGUUUUGACGUUACCGACAGAAUAAGCACCGGCUAACUCUGUGCCAGCAGCCGCGGUAAUACAGAGGGUGCAAGCGUUAAUCGGAAUUACUGGGCGUAAAGCGCGCGUAG